rnacentral:rRNA from 1 species
AGUGAACGCUGGCGGUAGGCCUAACACAUGCAAGUCGAACGGCAGCACAGUAAGAGCUUGCUCUUACGGGUGGCGAGUGGCGGACGGGUGAGGAAUGCAUCGGAAUCUACUUUUUCGUGGGGGAUAACGUAGGGAAACUUACGCUAAUACCGCAUACGACCUACGGGUGAAAGCAGGGGAUCUUCGGACCUUGCGCGAUUGAAUGAGCCGAUGUCGGAUUAGCUAGUUGGCGGGGUAAAGGCCCACCAAGGCGACGAUCCGUAGCUGGUCUGAGAGGAUGAUCAGCCACACUGGAACUGAGACACGGUCCAGACUCCUACGGGAGGCAGCAGUGGGGAAUAUUGGACAAUGGGCGCAAGCCUGAUCCAGCCAUACCGCGUGGGUGGAGAAGGCCUUCGGGUUGUAAAGCCCUUUUGUUGGGAAAGAAAAGCAGCAGGUUAAUACCCCGCUGUUCUGACGGUACCCAAAGAAUAAGCACCGGCUAACUUCGUG